rnacentral:siRNA from 1 species
GUCCACAACAAUAUUGGUUGGGC